rfam:Glycine soja cultivar W05 scaffold53_75, whole genome shotgun sequence.
UUCUAAUUGAACGUUAACGGUCAUGUGUCCUGUUUUGAUUAGACGUUGACAAUAACAAUAUAUUUUUCAUUGUUCAGUCAAAACGUGACACAUGGGAGUCAACGUUC